rnacentral:lncRNA from 1 species
GUUGAGACUUCACCUUCAACCCAAGCUUGAAAGAAAAUUAGCCACUCAUAAUUGAACUAGGGGCAAAAUGGAAAUUUAUUAAAAUACGAAGAAAAUACAAGAUGGAGAAGGAAUUACAGAAAAUGGAUCCCAAAAAUGGAUUCAGAGAUAUCAAAUUAGGGGGGGAGGCCCCCUUUUUAUAGAUACAUGGAGUAAAUCAUGGCCAUCGGAUUAAAAACAGUUUGGACGCUCAGGAUUGCGCCACGUCAUCAGUCAACAGUCCACGGUUUGACCACGCGGAUGAACAGUAACACGGUUUGACCCGACUUUGAACAGUAACGCGGUUUGACCCGGAUGAACAGUAACGCGGUUUGGUUGAAAAUAAUCCUGUGUGAUGCAUGCACCGUAUGCGAGAUUUUUCGUCCACUGAUAUGCUGCCACGUCACCAUCAACAGUACAUAAGAAUUUUAGUCCAACAGGAUCGUGACACCUCAUCAGUCAAUGCCACAUCAUCGGUCAAUGCCACGUCAUCAUCCGUCUAUGUGAACAGUGUCGUGAACAGUAACGUAGACAGUACCGUACGCGUGAAUAGUACCGUACAUGUGAAUAGUGCCAUUUUUCCUUUUAUGCUCCUCCUAAGGUUUUCGACCGUCCUGAGUUCAAAAGUGAUGUCCAUUUUGCCGUCUGAUCUCUCCUUUAUUGUGAAAUGACUAUAAUGCCCCUAAAAUACAUAAAAUACUUAAUUAAAAUAAAACACAUGUAAUUAAAUCACAAGAAGGUUAAAUAUAUAAAAGUAAGGGUUGUUAGUAAGACUUAAAAUGUAAAAUGACGGUUUUCUCCUUUAUAAAUAUGCAUUUUCUAACACUCAACACACCCCCCAACCAGCUUAUUGCUAGUCCCUAGCAAAUAAAGCGAAAACAAAAUUCAAAUUCAAAAUAUUUUUUUUUUAAUAGAAACACUCGUAUUUAUUCCAUCAGAUUAAUGAUAGCAAUCAAAUAAAAGUAUAAGCAUUAUCUCCAGUCUAAAGCAACAUCACACCCACAUC